AACAUGUUAUAUUACAUUGAUGAUAUAUAUAACUUAUUAAAUUCAUUUUUCAGAUAAGUUUGCGGAUCUUAUAUACCAAGAUUUUCCUUUUUUUUUUUUGUAAUAAAAAUUAAUUAAUAUAUACGUACCAUGCAGAAUAUGCGGCAGGGAGUAAGUUGUCAACCUAUGGUGACAUGUACAGUUAUGGAAUUCUAGUGUUGGAAACAUUUACAGGAAAGAGCCCCACAGAUGAAAUAUUCAAGGAUGGCCUAAACCUUCAUGAUUUUGUGAAGAUGGCCAUACCUGAACAAGUAUUGAAUGUUUGUGAUCCUACACUAGUUGACCGUUGCCUUGAAAAUAAAAAUGUUAUAAGGACGGAGAAGUGCCUGUGUUCAGUGUUUAGAAUCGGGAUUGCUUGCUCUAUGGAGUCGGCAGAAGCACGCAUGGACAUUGCACAUGUCCUUAAGGAGCUGAAGUUCAUUAGAGAUGAUCUCUAAUCACAAGCGCAUUUAAGAUUUAAAAUUUAUAUGUUGCUUUAGUGAUCUCAAUUAUAUUAAUAUGCAAUAAUUAUAGAGUAAUCCCCAGAGUGACUUACCAACGCCUUCAGAAAGCAACGAAUGGCUUCUCUCUGGAGAAUUCGAUUGGUUGGGGGAACUUUAGCUCUGUAUACAAAGGCAUUUUAGAUGAAUCAGUUGAUGGAAUUAAGCAGAUUGCUGUAAAGGUACUGAAACUUCAAAUGAAAGGAGCUAGCAAGUCCUUUGUUGCUGAGUGUGAAGCACUGAGGCAUAUCAGACAUCGAAACUUGGUGAAGCUUUUAACUUGUUGUUCAAGUAUUGAUCACCAAGGUCAUGAUUUUAAGGCCAUAAUUUAUGAGCUCAUGAUCAAUGGUAAUCUGCACAAUUGGUUGCACCAAAGUUGUUGGAAGAAUAGUACUACGGAUGAGGAGAAUCAUAAGCAGCCAAGAAGUAAUUUAAACAUUAAACAAAGGCUGGCUAUUGUGAUAGAUGUGGCCACUGCAUUGGAUUAUCUACACAAUCAAUCUGGAAUGCCAUUAAUACAUUGCGAUCUCAAACCGAGUAACGUGCUUUUGAAUGAAGAAUUUGUUGCUCAUUUAGGUGACUUUGGAUUGGCAAGAUUUACGCAAGCUGAUGCCGCCACACAUGUACAGAGCAGCUCUAGCACAGUAAAAGGGACGCUAGGAUAUAUACCGCCGGGUAAGUAUUCCCUCUGGCUGCCCAAAGCCUUCUGCACUUCUUAAUGCUUAUUUUUUUUUUUUUAUGAGAUUGACUUUUAACAGUUCACGAUAUACUCAAUAUUUAUACUAUCAGGUCACUUAAUCAUAGGUAAUUUUAUUCAAUAUUUCUAGUUCAACUUAAUUUGUACUUUUCUUUUUAAUCUCUAUUUAAAAAGAAUGAUCACUUUUUAUAUUUACUAACUCUUUAAGCACGAGAUGCAGAUUAAGAAUAUUUCAACACAUUAUAAAGAGUUUUCUUUAAGUUUAAAAUUCACAAUAUUGGAAAAUUGUCCUUGUUUUUUAAACUCGAUGUUUAUUCAAACUAAGACACACCGGAAGGAAAAUACGAAAUAACAUUGAUUAAAUAACCUAGAAUAAAUGGUGAGUAACAUGUUAUAUUACAUUGAUGAUAUAUAUAACUUAUUAAAUUCAUUUUUCAGAUAAGUUUGCGGAUCUUAUAUACCAAGAUUUUCCUUUUUUUUUUUUGUAAUAAAAAUUAAUUAAUAUAUACGUACCAUGCAGAAUAUGCGGCAGGGAGUAAGUUGUCAACCUAUGGUGACAUGUACAGUUAUGGAAUUCUAGUGUUGGAAACAUUUACAGGAAAGAGCCCCACAGAUGAAAUAUUCAAGGAUGGCCUAAACCUUCAUGAUUUUGUGAAGAUGGCCAUACCUGAACAAGUAUUGAAUGUUUGUGAUCCUACACUAGUUGACCGUUGCCUUGAAAAUAAAAAUGUUAUAAGGACGGAGAAGUGCCUGUGUUCAGUGUUUAGAAUCGGGAUUGCUUGCUCUAUGGAGUCGGCAGAAGCACGCAUGGACAUU
rnacentral:lncRNA from 1 species